AUGCAUUUUUGUACCACAAUCAACUACAGACAUAAUGCUGUUCAGAAAGGACAAACAGGCUCAGGGACAUCUGCCAAGCUCUGCCAAGAGAGGCGUCAUCAAAAAGUCAGACAAAGGGCUAAAGAUGCAGCGUCAAGAGCCAGGAGACUUUCCCGAGAAGAAGCUGAGAAGCCAUGGGAGCUGCUCUCUAUCAUGAAAAGCCAAAGCUGGGUCCCCAAGCAGGGAAAUGUGCGGCAGCUCCUGUGUUUAGAUCCCAGCUGCCAAAUCUGUGAGGCUGCGACUGAAGAGAUUCAGCAGUUAGUGCAGAGUGAGAAAAGUCAGCUCUCCCCUGCUUUUUUGGGACUGAACCAGGGUUCUGCUCACUCUGCACACCUGGAGACGUUACCCAUGUCUUUUGAACAGAAUAUGGAGCUCUGUUCCAGGCACACCAGACCUCAUCCACGGGUGCCUGGAAACCAAACACUAACACAACUAACGGGACACUUAACACAGUUGACCAACACAUUCGGGGUUCAAGAAUGCUGGACUGAUCGUCUCCAGCUAGACCAAAAUUUUCAUCUCGCCAACAUGCCCAUGGUCUCAGAGACUGUGACUUCUUCAAGGCUCAAGGAACCUAUGGUUUUAAUGAUUGAGGAAACAAUAGUGCAAAGCAAAGCAAAGCUUGACCAGGAAAGCCAAGACCUUCAUCACGUGAAGCCCUCUGUGUCUUUACUACCCCUGGACCCAAGCUUGACACAUACUAUGUCCUUACAUAUGGACUCAAUGCUGUCUUCCCAUCUGCCAUUACUUAGUCCUAAAGUCCGUGGGCUUCUUGAACUACAGGUAAAAAAAUGCAUACAUUUCCAGAAGUGGGGUCUUCCGAGACGUGUGGAGGAGUCCCUGAGGUAGCUCAUGCCAGACCCAACAUUAUUUCGUCGAUCUCGAGAAAAUCCAUCUUCCUGCACUCUGAGCAGCAGUUCUAAGGUCAUUGAGGACAGAACUGGGAUCGUUUCCCACAAGACCAGCAGCUUGUAUUCGGCAGGCCAGCCCGUCCAGACCUUCUGGGUUUCCAAACGGCCUGUUAUAAACCUGCAACAAGGAAGGCCCUGGCACCAAAUUCAUACUUGCUUGCCCUCUCAUGAAGGUGAACAUCUAAGGAAUUUCUAUCCACUCCCCAGGGCAAAAGCUAAUGACUCAGGGGACAAUCUUCAGAGUGAAUAUUAUAGCCACUUAUUCUGUGGCCUUCCAUCUCUUCACAGUGAGUCCUUGGAUGUUACUUACUUGAGUUCUCAAGGUACCUGCAAGAAAAAGGAUAUGUCCAAGCCCUCCACAGAUACUCAGCCCUCAGGGGUACUCUCGGGCCUUUUCUUACCCAAAACACCAUGUAAGUCAGCCUAUCCCUCUUCCCCGACCUCUCUGAAUGGCAAGACUCCCUGUGAGCGUGAAGGAGCACAGAUUACUGUCCCGUUCCUGUCGCUGGCUGAGUGUGAAGCACUGGAACGCCACCUCCUAAAGAAACAACUCAGCAAGCUUCAGUGGGGCCUGCCAACACUCCUCCUCCAAAACCAGCGCCGAAUGCUGUGUGAAGCACCCAGUGAGGCUAAGACAGUAAAAACUUCCUUGGCAAGGAAGCCCUUUUUACAUCCCACCAGGGACAUCUUCCCAGAGCACACAGUUAGGCUGCUGGAAUUCCACCUGCAGAAGCAGCUGAUUCACCUCCGCUGGGGGCUGCCCCAGAGGAUCCAGCGCUCCAUGAAUAUGCUGCUCUCCUCAACAGACCCGCAGUCCCUGCCCUGUGGCAGCAGUAGCUUACCCAAUGUGAGCAUCUCACAGCCCGGGAAACCAGAGGCCAAUGGGCCUGGUGACAUGUUCUCACUCACAGCGGGCAAAGGGACAAUCCCCAUGCCACACUUGUUUGCCAAGACAAGGGAAAUGUUGAAAAGCCAUGUUGAUUCCAAAUGUGAACAGAUCCAGGAGGGCAAGGUCCCGGCCCAAGUCUGGAAAUCUUGGGAAUGCAAAAUUCCUGGAAGCUUAGCAACAGUGGCUCCCUUCCCUUGGAUUCCACAAGGCCAAUGCAGGAAGUUACAGGCAGAAAGUAAAAGUGACCCUGACUUACUUCACAAAGUUGUUCCCUGGAAACCAAAGACCCUCAGCCAGGAGACACAAACCUUAUCUGGUACUCUCUUUGAACACUGUAAGAAGCCCCAAUCCCUGCCUAAGGAAACCAUUAAGAAACUGGAGACAACUUUACAUCAUAAGUAUCUGGCCUUCCUGUCAGGCCUGCCUGCCCUUUACUGUGUAGCUCUCUCUAGGCCUGCAUCCCCAGCAGUCACUAGCCAACCUAGACUCAGAGAGAAGAUGCCCAAAGCUGUCAAAAGCCCAUCAAAUGCUCUGACUCAAAUAACCCCACUUGAGCCCUGCACUCAGGAUGACAGUGGGGUGUCUGCGGACACUGCAGAAGAGUUCCAGCCUGGAGCAGAGGCAGACAGAAGGACAGAGAAGGUGCCUGCAGAGAGUCAGCCUCCCCCAUGCAGACCCUACCCAAUAAACACACAUAUCUUGGCCAAACUGAAUUUCCACCUGAAAAAAAAAGAUCCUAGCAAUGCAGUUUGGGAUUUCUGAAAAGGAAAAGAGAGAAUACAAGGAGCUGGGUACAGCCGACCUAGAGAGCGAAUCCAUCCAGGAAUUUCUCAGAAGUCUACACAUGUCAGAGAGCACACUGCUUCAGGAACAGCCUGUCGCAUGCCCAUCUCUGCCAGCCCCAAAUGCAAAAGGGGUCCACCCUAAAAAACAGCCAGCUUCUGCAGUACAGGAUGUGUGUCAGGCGCAAAGGCCUCCUCCUUCCAAAGCAGUGCCCCAUAGUUCUGCCCAGCAGAGCUCCAAGGCCUCGCAAUCCCAAAGGGAUAAGACCCAAGUCUGUGUUGACAUGGAAGCUGGAGGGAAAAGGUUCAACCUAGAGAAAUCCAAAGUCGUGGGGGACCUUGGAGAAGGGGACGCAGGUCUUGGGUUUUCCCUGGUCAGUCAAAAGACACGCCAGGAUGGAGAGCAGGAGAAGAGGCUCCUGCACAGACCACUCCAGGGCUCCUCACAACAGGGUCACACCUUUCAUCUUGAGGAUGCCUGUCCACACAGUCCCCGGGAGUCCCCUGAGCUCCAGUUCCCAGACCCACCUCCAGAAGUCUUCAUGGAGACAGACUCUGAGCAGGACAUGGAAGACAGUCAAAGCGAGGAAUCCAUUGUCCCAGAUCGUCCUCUGAGAAGUCAGUGAUGGCCUCCUUAUUAACUGCUCCCCAUAUUGUAGACAGUAAGCUCCGGCCUCGCUCCCGGCAGCUUGGCUCUGUCUCAAUAUUAGGCAACUCCCGCCAUUGCCCUCGGCACUGUCCUAGGUUGGCUUAUGCCACUCACCACAGAAACCUACCCUAGCUCCCAGGGUUUACUUCAGAAAUGCUCUUCUGGUAUUGGAGACCGCCCUGCAUGGUGACAGUUUCUAGGCUCCCCAACCUCUGUAUCCCUUUAAGAGCACAGCAUUGUCAUUUUCUUUGAUGAACAGGUAGGGACUGCACUACCCAAAAUGUAUUUUCUAUCUCCGAAUGAGUUGUCUGUCGUCUUUGUCUCUGCUGUACAUUAUUAAGAGAAGGUAUGAAGGAAAUAAAAAUGCCCUCAUCCUGGGAAGGAGACUUGAACUUACUUCAGACAAGUCAGUUUUCCUUACCCCAACCUAGAAUGUGAAUUAAACACUUGACCAGAAAGGAAGUCUCUCGUGUAUUAUACAAUAAAGAUAAAGAUCAGGCUUGAGUUCCUUCACCAAACUCUGCCUGGCUCAUAUUUUGGGGCCAAAGGUAAAGCGAUAAGGGAAAAAUUGUGAUGUUCUCAAUUUAAUUAUGAAAGUCAAGGGCUGGAAUGAAAAAGAAGUAAAAGAAAUUAGUGACGGCAGAGAACCAUCAAAAAAGAUUCUUCACGGUUUGGGACCUUUCCAUCCCUUCACAGUGAGUCCUUGGAUGUUACUUCCUUGAGUUCUCAAGGUACCUGCAAGAAAAAGGAUAUGUCUAAGCCCUCCACAGAUGCUCAGCCCUCAGGGGUACUCUCGGGCCUUUUCUUACCCAAAACACCAUGUAAGUCAGCCUUUCCCUCUUCCCCGACCUCUCUGAAUGGCAAGACUCCCUGUGAGCGUGAAGGAGCACAGAUUACUGUCCCGUUCCUGUCGCUGGCUGAGUGUGAAGCACUGGAACGCCACCUCCUAAAGAAACAACUCAGCAAGCUUCAGUGGGGCCUGCCAGCUCUCCUCCUCCAAAACCAGCGCCGAAUGCUGUGUGAAGCACCCAGUGAGGCUAAGACAGUAAAAACUUCCUUGGCAAGGAAGCCCUUUUUACAUCCCACCAGGGACAUCUUCCCAGAGCACGCAGGAAGGCUGCUGGAAUUCCACCUGCAGAAGCAUCUGAUUCACCUCCGCUGGGGGCUGCCCCAGAGGAUCCAGCGCUCCAUGAAUAUGCUGCUCUCCUCAACAGACCCGCAGUCCCUGCCCUGUGGCAGCAGUAGCUUACCCAAUGUGAGCAUCUCACAGCCCGGGAAACCAGAGGCCAAUGGGCCUGGUGACAUGUUCUCACUCACAGCGGGCAAAAGGGACAAUCCCCAUGCCACACUUGUUUGCCAAGACAAGGGAAAUGUUGAAAAGCCAUGUUGAUUCCAAAUGUGAACAGAUCCGGGAGGGCAAGGUCCCGGCCCAAGUCUGGAAAUCUUGGGAAUGCAAAAUUCCUGGAAGCUUAGCAACAGUGGCUCCCUUCCCUUGGAUUCCACAAGGCCAAUGCAGGAAGUUACAGGCAGAAAGUAAAAGUGACCCUGACUUACUUCACAAAGUUGUUCCCUGGAAACCAAAGACCCUCAGCCAGGAGACACAAACCUUAUCUGGUACUCUCUUUGAACACUGUAAGAAGCCCCAAUCCCUGCCUAAGGAAACCAUUAAGAAACUGGAGACAACUUUACAUCAUAAGUAUCUGGCCUUCCUGUCAGGCCUGCCUGCCCUUUACUGUGUAGCUCUCUCUAGGCCUGCAUCCCCAGCAGUCACUAGCCAACCUAGACUCAGAGAGAAGAUGCCCAAAGCUGUCAAAAGCCCAUCAAAUGCUCUGACUCAAAUAACCCCACUUGAGCCCUGCGCUCAGGAUGACAGUGGGGUGUCUGCGGACACUGCAGAAGAGUUCCAGCCUGGAGCAGAGGCGGACAGAAGGACAGAGAAGGUGCCUGCAGAGAGUCAGCCUCCCCCAUGCAGACCCUACCCAAUAAACACACAUAUCUUGGCCAAACUGAAUUUCCACCUGAAAAAAAAGAUCCUAGCAAUGCAGUUUGGGAUUUCUGAAAAGGAAAAGAGAGAAUACAAGGAGCUGGGUACAGCCGACCUAGAGAGCGAAUCCAUCCAGGAAUUUCUCAGAAGUCUACACAUGUCAGAGAGCACACUGCUUCAGGAACAGCCUGUCGCAUGCCCAUCUCUGCCAGCCCCAAAUGCAAAAGGGGUCCACCCUAAAAAACAGCCAGCUUCUGCAGUACAGGAUGUGUGUCAGGCGCAAAGGCCUCCUCCUUCCAAAGCAGUGCCCCAUAGUUCUGCCCAGCAGAGCUCCAAGGCCUCGCAAUCCCAAAGGGAUAAGACCCAAGUCUGUGUUGACAUGGAAGCUGGAGGGAAAAGGUUCAACCUAGAGAAAUCCAAAGUCGUGGGGGACCUUGGAGAAGGGGACGCAGGUCUUGGGUUUUCCCUGGUCAGUCAAAAGACACGCCAGGAUGGAGAGCAGGAGAAGAGGCUCCUGCACAGACCACUCCAGGGCUCCUCACAACAGGGUCACACCUUUCAUCUUGAGGAUGCCUGUCCACACAGUCCCCGGGUCUCACUAUGUAGCCCUAGCUGACUCAGAACUAACUCUGUAGGCAGGUCAACCUCUAACUCUAAGAGAUCUACCUGUCUCUACCUCCAGAGAACUGGAAUUAAUGGCAUACCACCAUGCUGACCCUUCUCCCUCCUUUAAAUCUGGUUUGUAACUUCUAUCCUAUUGCCUGUCGUUAAUGGGAUAGCCUUGGAUUCAUGUGUAUAUCCUGAUCUCAACAACUUGGUCAGGUCUUAAAUAUCCACAAAAGGAGGGUCUUGCCCAGUGGCAGAGCACUAGCCUCACAUAUGAAGGCUUUUGAUUUGCUCUUGAGUUCUAUAGGGAAAAAUUCAGAACACCAGUGACCCCAAUACUUGAGAAUGUUCAGAAGUUAAUUAUGGCAAAGAUAGGUGCAUGCCAGAAACUGUUCUCAGGGACAGACUCUCUUUUAAGAUCUACCAAAGUCAGGUGUGAGUUCACGACCCUCUUUAGAACCCCACCUACCACACAUCACAUGAAAAGCCUCAGUUUACCCAGGGUCCCAUGCCUGCAGACUACUGACCCCCUACAGUCUGACAUAGCAGGUAAAAGGGAACAACAAACUAGGCAGACAUGCCUGAUCCAAGUCACCCUUAGGGAACCAUCAAAGUCCCAGGUGCCCCAGAAGGGGGCCCUGGCACAGGCAUGGUUCCUUUUAUAGCUCUAUGGCAAGCUUAAAUGUUAGCUGCAAGCCCAGCCUUACAGCCAUACUCCUAAUCAAACUCCAGCCUCAUUCCCAGAAAGAGAAGGGUGGUGUGGUAAAUGCCAACAAGGUGCUUGAAUGGCCAAAUGAGCACAGAAGGCUUUGGUGUUCCUUCUCCCUUGGACCUGGAUGGCCACCUGCCCUGCUUGGAUAGCUCUGGAGAGACUUACAGCCUCACACAGGGAACCUAGAAAGCAGCCCAGCAGACUCUCCCCAUAUCAGAGCAGAAUUGCACAUAACCAUAUAUCCCUCCCUGAAUUGUCUUAGAAGUUCAGAACCAACCUCCAACAUACAAUGUAAACUCCUUGGCUGAUCCUAACCUCAAACCCAAAUUCAGUGCCCGACUCCAUUCUGUCUUCAAAAGACCAAUCCAACAUAUGCCAGCCUUUAACAGCAAGAAUCACAACCCAGUUCAAAACCCCACACUAACAUCAGCAGGAUCCUUCCCUGUGCUGGCCAUAACCCUAUUCUAAUCUGCUCCCCCAAACCCGUUUUUUGUUUGUUUACUUGUUUGUUUUGUUUUGUUUUAUUCUGUUUUUUUUUUUUUUUUUUUUUUGGCAUGGAAAACUUUAUGUGCCAAGAUUGUUAGCCACACUAAGAGCAGCAGAGAGGAUGACUCCUCUUCCUCUCAUCUGUCACCUUCACUGCAUAGGUAAUGAGUUCACUGGAGAGAGCAAAGUAGCUGCAGGUCUCUUGGGAGAAAAACAAGACUUUCAAUAGCCUUUUGGAAGAGAAUGAUAAUUACAGUAAGAUGUAGCUAAGUGUCCUGGCUAAUUUACUGUCAACUGAACACAAGCUAGAGUCAUUUGGGAAGAACCCUCAAUUGGGAAAAUGCCUCCAUGUUAGUAAACAGCACUCCUCCAUGGCCUCUGCAUCAGCUCCCGCUUCCAGGUCCCUUGAGUUCUUGACCCAACUUUCCAGGACGAUGGACUACAAGCUACAGGAUGAAAUAAGCCCUUUCUUUCCCGAGGUUUCUCUUGGUUGUGUGGUUUUACCAUAGCAACAGAGACCCUGUCUAAGAUGCUAGGUAAAAAUGCUAAUUAGAAUAAGGUUGUGGGGAGAGGGGGCAGGGCAACAUGUGAAACUAAUUGAGUACUACAAGAUGUUGAGAAAAGAGGACAGAAAGAAAUAUCCCAUGCUGAACCAGAACUGGUUAUGUGUGCUUUGACUCAUUUUGGCAGAAUACAUGGUGAGAUACAGUUUCUAUCAUGAGAUGGGUCCUACUAUGAGACAGGACCACAAAAUAAAGAGGGAAAAGAAGGAAGGGGCUGGGCGGGGAGACAAGAGGAGCACAUGGAUAUUAAAGGGUGACCAUUUGGGACUGGACAGCCAUUUCCUAUGAACUUCCCUGGGGAGGCCCUCCUCUCCCAGCUUCCCUCAGCUGCCUCUGGGUAGGGCUGGUGCCUUGUGGACUUUUCUAUCCACUUUGGCGUGUCCAUUGGUGAGCAGGUUCUAUUUAGGAAUGUAUAUGUACACACAUGUAUGUGCCUGCAGGAGCCAAAAAAGGAGGCCACGAAACUGAAGAAGAACAAGGAAGGGUUAUGGGAGGGUUUGGAGGGAGGAAGGGAGAAAUGUAGUUGUAUAUUAAAUAUAUUGCAUUAUAUUAUAUUACACUCUCAAGACUGUAUAAAAAUAAAAAGGGUGGUUGACUUAUGAAGGCUCGGUCCGAGUCAAUUUAUUAACCCACUCAUGAAUUAACAUGUCAGUGGAUUAAUAAGUUGUUGCUUGCAUGUUUUGUUAUAGCCACGCUCCUUGUGCUCAGCUUGCUCUGUGUUACCAUGGCCAUCACAGAUGUCAGGCAGAUGCUGCCACCAGGCUCCAGAACCUUGAGGAAAUAGAUGAUUUCUUUAUAAGUUUUCCUCAUCAAUUAUGUCAUCUGUGGCAUUCUUAUGGCAACAGAAAAUGGACUAUUCUAUGAUUAUAGGAAAUUAUAGGUCACAACAAAUGAUAAAGCUUCUGGAAUAUAACAGAGAAUGUCUUCAUUAUGACUUAAGAAAAGCUGUGCCGCAGAUCUAGCCCAGGGACCCCGCAUACCAGGCAAACAUUCUCCCAUGGAGUUGCAUCUCCAACCCUUUCAUUAGGAAUUUCUCGAUGGUAAACAAAAUUCCUUUAAAAAUUACAGAGCACUAAUCCUAAAAUGAGAUUGAUACAUUGGUGCAUUUUAAACAUCAGGGUUUCCUUUUAAAGAGUGGUGUGGUGGUUUGAAAAAGAGUGACAGCCCCUACCCCCCCCCACACACACACACACAGAUUCACACAUUCGGAAGCUUAGCCAUCAGGGAGAGUAGUUUCCAAAGGAAUGACCUCAACAAACAAAGGAAGCCUGAAGGUUUUAUCUGGGGGCCUACCCACAGUCACAUAAGAAAACACAUUAGGAACAAGCAUAGUCUAUGGAUGCUCACGUUCCUGAAUAGUUACAGUUUAGCAUCAUUGUCUUUGUUAAGGUUUCUACUGCUGUGGUAAAGACCCGACCAAAGCAACUUAGGGAGGAAAAGGCUUUAUUCAGCUUACACUUCCAGUUAAUAGUCCAUCACUGAGGGAAGUCAGGCCAAGAACUCCAGCUGGACAGGGACCUAAUACAGCAGGAACUGGUCAGAGGCCAUGAAGAGGUGCUGAUAACUGCCUUGCUCUCCAUGACUUGCACAACCUGCUUUCUCAUACCACCCAGGACCACCUGCCCAGGAGUAGCACCAUCUACAAUGGGCUGGUCCCUCCUGCAUCAAUAACUAAGCAAUACAAAGCCAAGCAGCUGAAACAGUUCUGAAAUUGAUCCAUCCUCGAACCAAACACCUUUAUUUACAGAGGAAAUCAAUAUGAGCAGGUUAUUAAGCGCUUUGAAUAGGCACUUCAGUGCACUAUGUUCUUCGGGAAGGAUCAUCUAUAGUGUGCCUGCCUCCAUAACAAAAAUAGAAAAGAUAAUGUGGUUUUGAUUUUCUUGUGAAUUUGUGGGUUUUUCAAGACAGGAUUCCUCUGUGUAAACUUGGGUGUCCUUGGAAAUUGCUGUGUCAACCUGGCUAGCCUCAAACACAGAUCUGACUGCCUUUGCCUCUCUAGUACUGGGAUUAAAGGUAUAUGUCACCACUGCCCAGCCUAUUCUAAUUUUUUAAUGGAAUUUUUCUAAGUAAGUAAGAAAUUAUAUUUUAAGGAUCUCUUAUCAAUUCAGUCCUAGUUUCUGCCUCUGUAAAAUUACACAUAUUAUCUACAGUUAAUAAAUUAACCAACCUGUAACAGUA